AAGAUAGAAGCUUGUCCAAAAACCAGAAUAUGUUGAGGUAAGCUUACUAUUUUUAGUGGAUCCGUUAUCCAAAUAUACUACUUUCAUCCCAACCCCAAAAGAAUGCAUAGUAGAGGUGAUGGCCAAACUUUUUAUAGGCCAUAUCGUCAAAUAUGAUUGGCAACGAUUGUAAGUGACUGAAACUCACGGUUCAUGGAUAAGUUUUGGACAGACUUAUUUCGUUUUCUUGAUUCAGGGCUCAAUAUGUCAACGACAAUGCACCUGCAAAUGGAUGGGCACACAAAAUGUGUGAAUAACGUACUAGAGGUCUACCUUUGGCACUAUUUGAUAGUGAAUCAAGCAGAUUGGACAAAAUUACUUGACGUUGCCCAAUUUUAUUUCGAUUUGCAAAGAAACGAGAGCACUAGCAAGAGCUCGUUUGGGAUCGUACUUGAAUUUCAGCCAAUAACCGCAAAAGAUAUUGUUAAUGGCUACAAGGGUACUAGUCUUCCCCUCUAUUGAUUUGCCAAGAAUUGGCAAGAACGAGCGAACACAACCAAACUAUACUUAGAGAAGGCCUAGCAACGGAUGAAAAAAUGAACCAAUCGUAAGCACACGUUCCACGAGUUCAAAGAGGGGAACCAAAUAUUUGUAAAACUCUAUCAACACGAACGUAUUCGUGGGGUGCACAAGGAUCUCAUGCGAUGAUAUGAGGAAUUGUUUACUGAACUAAAAAGAGUGAGAAACAUAACCUAUAAGGUGGAGUUGUCCGAAACAUUAUCCCAACUCCAUCUGGUCUUUCAUGUCAAUCUACUCAAGCCGUUCUAUCAAGACUUGCACAAUCCAUCAAGGAGCAUGUCAGCGAGGGCACUUGCGGGUAUGAGGGAUAAGUACGAUAAGAUUGUCUAGGAGAUCGUGGCCGAUCAUAUUAUUUCGUACAAGAAUCACGCACCAUCAAAGAAGCACUUGGUGCGAUGGUGUGAGCUACGGGAAUUCGAGAUUAGUUGGGAGCUGGUCAAAAAGUAGUAGCAAUUUGGGGAGUUUAUUCGGAUGUUUGAACCUAGUUAAGGCAUUAGGGACAAUGUCUUAUUCAAAUAGGGGAGAAUGACAUAGAUCGCACACCGAUCACGUGCACCUGCCCCAGGCUAGCUAGACAUGGAGACUCUUCCAAACAGUAUUGGAAGUAUGUAGAAAGCCUUAAAGGUUUCUGGAAUGUUAUAUGUCGCGCGAGAGUCUUGAG
rnacentral:lncRNA from 1 species